rnacentral:rRNA from 1 species
UACGGAGGGUGCAAGCGUUAUCCGGAUUCACUGGGUUUAAAGGGUGCGUAGGUGGGUUGAUAAGUCAGUGGUGAAAUCCCCGAGCUUAACUUGGGAACUGCCAUUGGUACUAUUGAUCUUGAAUACCGUGGAGGUCAGCGGAAUAUGUCAUGUAGCGGUGAAAUGCUUAGAUAUGACAUAGAACACCAAUUGCGAAGGCAGCUGGCUACGCGAAUAUUGACACUGAUGCACGAAAGCGUGGGGAUCAAACAGG